AUUGAACGCUGGCGGCAUGCCUUACACAUGCAAGUCGAACGGUAACAGGUCUUCGGAUGCUGACGAGUGGCGAACGGGUGCGUAAUACAUCGGAACGUGCCCGAUCGUGGGGGAUAACGAGGCGAAAGCUUUGCUAAUACCGCAUACGAUCUACGGAUGAAAGCGGGGGAUCUUCGGACCUCGCGCGGACGGAGCGGCCGAUGGCAGAUUAGGUAGUUGGUGGGAUAAAAGCUUACCAAGCCGACGAUCUGUAGCUGGUCUGAGAGGAUGAUCAGCCACACUGGGACUGAGACACGGCCCAGACUCCUACGGGAGGCAGCAGUGGGGAAUUUUGGACAAUGGGCGAAAGCCUGAUCCAGCCAUGCCGCGUGCAGGAUGGAGGCCUUUGGGUUGUAAACUGCUUUUGUACGGAACGAAAAGCCUCUUUCUAAUAAAGAGGGGUCAUGACGGUACCGUAAGAAUAAGCACCGGCUAACUACGUG
rnacentral:rRNA from 1 species